rnacentral:rRNA from 1 species
UUAAAAAGCUCGUAGUUGAACCUUGGGCCUGGCUGGCCGGUCCGCCUCACCGCGUGUACUGGUCCGGCCGGGCCUUUCCCUCUGUGGAACCCCAUGCCCUUCACUGGGUGUGGCGGGUAAACAGGACUUUUACUUUGAAAAAAUUAGAGUGCUCCAGGCAGGCCUAUGCUCGAAUACAUUAGCAUGGAAUAAUAGAAUAGGACGUGUGGUUCUAUUUUGUUGGUUUCUAGGACCGCCGUAAUGAUUAAUAGGGACAGUCGGGGG